UUUCUUCUGGAUAUGUGAUGGAAAUUUGCCUGUUUGUUCUCGUCACAUGAUCGAAACGCUUGGGAGGGAAAGCGACAUUGCAUAACCAUUGCGAUUCGAUCGCAUUGACGAUUAAACAGCUGACGUUCGGAGCCGGUGUUUACACCGGGAUCUACAUCACACAAAACUAUGAGGUACCGAGGGUUGACGAGCCGGGAAAGCUGUUGGAAAAGGCGAAA